rnacentral:lncRNA from 1 species
UUUUUUCCCACAGACAUUUUGCACGUGUAAUGGAGGUUACAGGGGUUGUGUGGUUUGGCAUUGUUACUUUCCUUUGUCAGGUGUUUUCGUGCGCAUUUGCAGACGAUCCCUCUUCAAAAGCAGACAAAAAAGCAGUAAUUUUCAGUAGCAAUGAUAGAAGCACAAGAGCUGAGCAUGUCUACAGUCAUGAGGACAAUCACAUGGAUACUGCAGUGAAUGCAGCUUCACAGUUAGAAACUCCCUCUGAUCUUCUGAUUGUGGAGUUUCCAAGCUCUUCAGCAGGACAAAGGAGAAGAAAGAGAGAGUGGGUUAUUCCUCCUUAUAGAAUACCUGAGAACGAGAGAGGUAGUUUCCCCAAAAAACUGUUCCAGGUGUGUAAAAGUAAUGAAAUGGCAGUUGUAAAUUGCAUCAAUAUGUAA